GAUCCUGGCUCAAGAUGAACGCUAGCUACAGGCUUAACACAUGCAAGUCGAGGGGCAGCAUAACGAAAGCUUGCUUUGUUGAUGGCGACCGGCGCACGGGUGAGUAACGCGUAUCCAACCUUCCCUAUAGUAGAGAAUAGCCCGGCGAAAGUCGGAUUAAUGCUCUAUGUUCUUCUUUGAUGGCAUCUGAGGAGGAGCAAAGGUUCACCGCUAUAGGAUGGGGAUGCGUCUGAUUAGGUAGUCGGCGGGGUAACGGCCCACCGAGCCAACGAUCAGUAGGGGUUCUGAGAGGAAGGUCCCCCACAUUGGUACUGAGACACGGACCAAACUCCUACGGGAGGCAGCAGUGAGGAAUAUUGGUCAAUGGGCGAGAGCCUGAACCAGCCAAGUAAGCGUGCAGGACGACUGCCCUAUGGGUUGUAAACUGCUUUUAUAGGGGAAUAAAGUGAGGUACGUGUACCUUUUUGUAUGUACCCUAUGAAUAAGGACCGGCUAAUUCCGUGCCAGCCGCGGC
rnacentral:rRNA from 1 species